rnacentral:rRNA from 1 species
GGGUGCUGCAUGGCUGUCGUCAGCUCGUGCCGUGAGGUGUUCCGGUUAAAGUCCGGUAACGAGCGCAACCCUCGUCGUCAGUUACAAGUGUCUGACGAGACUGCCCGUGAUAAGCGGGAGAAGGUGGGGAUGACGUCAAGUCAGCAUGGCCUUUAUAUCCAGGGCUACACACACGCUACAAUGGCCGGUACAAUGGGUCGCCAACCCGCGAGGGGGAGCCAAUCCAAUAAAGCCGGUCUCAGUUCGGAUUGCAGGCUGCAACCCGCCUGCAUGAAGUCGGAGUUGCUAGUAACCGCGCGUCAGCACAGUGCGGUCGAAUACGUUCCCGGGCCUU